rnacentral:tRNA from 1 species
GCCUGGGUGGCUCAGUUGGUUGAGCAUCUGACUUCAGCUCAGGUCAUGAUCUCACAGUUCAUGGGUUCAAGCCCCACAUCAGGCU